UUCGUCCAAAACGUAUAUUUUCAAAUAUUUACUAAUUCAUCAGAAUCCACCCUCGAAUUAGGAAGCCUUACUAUCUCAAGUCGUUGUUGCUCAAAUGUAUACCAUUAUGUUCAUGUAACUUUUAUUAAAGUCAAACAAAUUAUACCUAUGAUUUUUUAUAUGUAUGAAUAAAACAAACAUAUAUGAGUGAGAAGGAAGAUAUGUUUGAGCUUGUAUAGGUAUAUUUUUGAAAAUAAAGUGUUUUUUUAAUUUCAGAGAGAAGUGAUAAGUAAUUUCGCAUAAUUAUGCCAUUGACUGUUUCCCGAGGAAAUGUGUAUGCUCAAUAGCUAUCUGUCGUCAUCCCCGAAAAAUACCACCAUUUCGCCUAACGGUUGUUUUAACAUGAUUUCCACGCAAAUCACAUGUUCCUCCAAAACAGCUCGUUACGUGACAUGUUGUGAAUUUCAUUAAAAAAUGACUAUUUUUUAUUAUAUAUGGAAAGGCUUUAUAUGUAAGAUUCCAUUAUUAACCAAGGGUCGAAAUCUAUCGUUUUGUUUUGCAUUUUUAUGGAUGUAUGGAGCUUUAACGAUUUAACGUUAAUUAUUUAUUAUAGAAGCUAAAUUUGAACUAAACCGAAUUCAAUGAAAGCAAGCUUGGGGAUGUAAUUUAAGAAGAACUCAUAGAGAGUCCCUAAUGAAGAGCACUCAAAGGCAGCUCUUGUCCGGGCUCGGCCCGGGCAUCGGCGAUGCACCGAACAACCCUUAAUUGAAAAGCCCGGCCAGGGGCUAAUCAGGGCUCAGCUGAGCGGUGCAGGGCAGCGGGGUAAGAGCGCGGGGUCCGGGGCGGAGUGGCUGGAGCCACGCGGGCUGGCCGCGCCCCCUGCGCGCGCCGCUUCACCCGGGACCUCAUUCAAGUAGCGAGCGCGCCCGGUACCAGCCGCCACCCUCAGGUCAUUAAUCCCCGCUAUUACCGCGGCUUCUCGCAUUUUUCAAGCUGGCAACACGAUCGAUCAAAAUAAUGUCACAACAAACCUACGCCUACAAAUCAGUUUAUGUUUUGUAGGAUUAUUUCUGUUUCGAUUUUUUUAUCUAUUGUUUGUGGUUAAUCAUUAGUCUAAGUAUCCUUAAAAUUGUUGUAAUAUGAAUGAUGUAUAUGAA